AUACGGAGGGUGCAAGCGUUAUCCGGAUUUACUGGGUUUAAAGGGUCCGCAGGCGGGAAAAUAAGUCAGUGGUGAAAGCCUACAGCUCAACUGUAGAACUGCCAUUGAUACUGUUUUUCUUGAGUAUAGAUGAAGUGGGCGGAAUAUAUCAUGUAGCGGUGAAAUGCAUAGAUAUGAUAUAGAACACCGAUUGCGAAGGCAGCUCACUAAACUAUUACUGACGCUCAGGGACGAAAGCGUGGGGAGCGAACAGGAUUAGAAACCCUAGUAGUCC
rnacentral:rRNA from 1 species